GGGGUUGACUGGUUUUGACAGCGUGUAGAAGCGGUGUGUAAGCGUGCAGAGACAUGGUGCUUGACCUCUUUAAACUCAGUGCCGGAAAAUUUAACUGGCGAAAACAACUUCGCUCUCGCUGCUUGAUUGAAGCAUAGUAGAUCAGCUUAAUCCCCGCGACAGUCGCAGGGACGGGACAUCGUCCAAGGCCCUUUUUCCGAGGCGCUUGAAUUGACGGUGUUAGAAAUCGGAAAUAGGCGAUGGUUGGCCUCGCGACCGGAGCCGAACUCUUAGAGGAUAAGGCGACGAUUGGUUGUCACUGACCUGUCGGCGCACCAAAAUCAAUCAGUGACUACGCACGUAGAAAGCUCAUUGAUUCCGCGUUUGGACGAGGGUUCAAGUCCCUCCAACUCCACCA
rnacentral:tmRNA from 1 species